rnacentral:tRNA from 1 species
GUUCCUAUAGUUGAAGCUAACAGUAGCUUUUCAUGCUGCCGGUCUAAGUUAAAGUCUUAGUGAGAAUA